rnacentral:rRNA from 1 species
AGCGGGGCCCAUCCCGUAAGGCUAAAUACUCCCGAGAGACCGAUAGCGAACCAGUACUGUGAAGGAAAGGUGAAAAGAACCUCGAACAGAGGAGUGAAACAGACCCUGAAACCAUGCGCCUACAAGCGGUCGGAGCAUGUUAAAAUGUGACGGCGUGCCUUUUGCAUAAUGAACCUACGAGUUACUCUCGCUGGCAAGGUUAAGCGAUUCAGUCGCGCAGCCGAAGCGAAAGCAAGUCCGAACAAGGCGUACAGUCAGCGGGAGUAGACGCGAAACCAAGUGAUCUACCCUUGGUCAGGUUGAAGGUUGGGUAACACCAACUGGAGGACCGCACCGAUAAGCGUUGAAAAGCUUACGGAUGAACUGAGGGUAGGAGUGAAAGGCCAAUCAAACUUGGAGAUAGCUCGUACUCCCCGAAAUGCAUUUAGGUGCAGCCUCGAAGCAGAGUGAUAGAGGUAGAGCGACUGAUAAGAUGCGAGGGCUUCACCGCCUAUCAAGUCUUGACAAACUCCGAAUACUAUCACUUGAUCUUUGGGAGUGAGGGCAUGGGUGCUAAGGUCCAUGUCCGAAAGAGGAACAACUCAGACCACCAGCUAAGGUCCCGAAAUAAGGGCUAAGUUGAAUAAACGAAGUAAAACUGCAAAGACAGCUAGGAUGUUGGCUUGGAAGCAGCCAUUCAUUUAAAGAGUGCGUAACAGCUCACUAGUCGAGGAGUUUUGCAUGGAUAAUAAUCGGGCAUAAGCCCUUUACCGAAGCUGUGGAUGUCGUAAGACAUGGUAGGGGAGCAUUCCGGCGGCGACGAAGGCCGUCCUCGAGGACGACUGGAGCUUUCGGAAAAGCAAAUGUAGGUAUAAGUAACGAUAAAGGGGGCGCGAAACCCCCUCGCCAUAAGACUAAGGAUUCCUGAUCAACGCUAAUCGGAUCAGGGUAAGUCGGGCCCUAAGGCGCAGCCGAACGGCGCAGCCGAUGGAAGAAACGGUAAAGAUUCCGUUACUGGAUAUAGGAGCGAUGUGGAGACGGAGAAGUGACACACCCGCCUGCCGACGGAAGCGCAGGUUAAAGGAAGUAGGUAAACGCCGGGCAGGCAAAUCCGCCUGGCGUGCCGAAGCUGACAGUAUCGAGAGCCCCCGGGCAAUCGAAUAGCGGUGGUAACCAGGCUCCCAAGAAAAUCCGCUAAGCAUAUUCUAUAUCCACCCGUACCCCAAACGGACACACGUAGUCGGGUAGAAUAUACCAAGGCGCUCGAAAGACUCACGGUUAAGGAACUAGGCAAAUUGACCCUGUAACCUCGGGAAAAAGGGUCCCCAGUAAGAUGGGGCGCAGAGAAUAGGUCCAGGCAACUGUUUAACAAAAACACAGGGCUGUGCAAAAUUUGAAGAUGAAGUAUACAGCCUGACACCUGCCCGGUGCCGGAAGGUUAAGAGGAGAGCUUAUCGCAAGAGAAGGCUUGAAUUGAAGCCCCGGUAAACGGCGGCCGUAACUAUAACGGUCCUAAGGUAGCGAAAUUCCUUGUCGG